rnacentral:lncRNA from 1 species
AUGUCCUUUGAUGAGCUCUUGGAUCAAGCCGGAGGCCUGGGGAGAUUCCAAAUCUUUCAGUUAGUUCUCUUUUGUAUCACCAACCUCCUAACAUCCUCUCAUAUUAUACUGGAGAACUUCACUGCAGCAAUUCCUAAUCAUCGCUGCUGGGUCCAGAUUCUGGACAAUGACACUGUCUCUGGUAAUGACACCAGGACUUUCAGCCAAGAUGCCCUCCUGAGGAUCUCCAUUCCCCUGGACUCAAACCUGAAACCAGAGAAAUGCCGUCGCUUCAUCCAUCCCCAGUGGCAGCUCCUUCACCUGAAUGAAACUGUCACCAACACAGCUGAGGCAGACACGGAGCCCUGUGUGGAUGGCUGGGUGUAUGACAGAAGCUAUUUCCCCUCCACCAUCAUAACUGAGUGGGACCUGGUUUGUGAAUCCCAGUCAUUAAAACCAAUGGUUCAAACUCUGUUUAUGACUGGGUCACUGUUGGGAAGUCUGAUAUAUAGCCCUCUUUCAGACAGGUGAGUGUCACCUCACUUUCUUUUAGACUGUUGGUCAGAUUAAGU